AACGAACGCUGGCGGCGUGCCUAACACAUGCAAGUCGUGCGAGAAAGUUCCUUCGGGAGCGAGUAAAGCGGCGCACGGGUGAGUAACACGUAGGUAACCUGCCCCCCAGUCUGGAACAACUAGAGGAAACUCUAGCUAAUGCCGGAUGAGACCACGAUCCCUUCGGGGGUUGGCGGCCAAAGAUGGCCUCUACUUGUAAGCUAUCGCUGAGGGAUGGGCCUGCGGGCCAUUAGCUUGUUGGAGAGGUAACGGCUCACCAAGGCUGUGAUGGCUAGCUGGUCUGAGAGGAUGACCAGCCACACUGGGACUGAGACACGGCCCAGACUCCUACGGGAGGCAGCAGUGGGGAAUAUUGCGCAAUGGGCGAAAGCCUGACGCAGCGACGCCGCGUGGGUGAUGAAGGCC
rnacentral:rRNA from 1 species